UGCAGUGGUAGUUCAGUUGGUUAGAAUACCGGCCUGUCACGCCGGGGGUCGCGGGUUCGAGUCCCGUCCGCUGCGCCAC
rnacentral:tRNA from 1 species